rnacentral:pre_miRNA from 1 species
AGAUGCUGCGCUAUGAGUUAUUUUGUUUUAAAUAAUAACUCAAAGUCGUAGCUUCGGU